GACGAACGCUGGCGGCGCGCUUAACACAUGCAAGUCGAACGGAAAGGCCCUGCUUUUGUGGGGUGCUCGAGUGGCGAACGGGGGAGUAACACGUGAGUAACCUGCCCUUCACUGUGGGAUAACUUCAGAAAACUUGGGCUAAUACCGGGUAGGAGCUCCUGCUGCAUGGUGGGGGUUGGAAAGUUUCGGCGGUUGGGGAUGGAAUCGCGGCUUAUCAGCUUGUUGGGGGGGUAGUGGCUGACCAAGGCUUUGCCAGGUAGAGGGCCUGAGAGGGUGAGCGGCCACACUGGGACUGAGCUACGGCACAGACUAGUAUGGGAGGCAGGAGAGGAGAAGAUUGCACAAUGGGCUGAAGCAUGAUGCAGCAACGCCGCGUGCGGGAUGAGGUGCUGCGGGUUGUAAACCGCUUUCGCUUGUGACGAAGCGUGAGUGACGGUAAUGGGUAAAGAAGCACCGGCUAACUACGUG
rnacentral:rRNA from 1 species